rnacentral:rRNA from 1 species
ACGGAAGGCAGCAGUGGGGAAUAUUGGACAAUGGGGGAAACCCUGAUCCAGCGACGCCGCGUGAGUGAAGAAGUAUUUCGGUAUGUAAAGCUCUAUCAGCAGGGAAGAUGAUGACGGUACCUGACUAAGAAGCCCCGGCUAACUACGUGCCAGCAGCCGCGGUAGUACGUAGGGGGCAAGCGUUAUCCGGAUUUACUGGGUGUAAAGGGUGCGUAGGCGGCACGGCAAGUCAGAAGUGAAAUCCCAGGGCUCAACCCUGGAACUGCUUUUGAAACUGUCGAGCUAGAGUACAGGAGAGGUAAGCGGAAUUCCUAGUGUAGCGGUGAAAUGCGUAGAUAUUAGGAGGAACACCAGUGGCGAAGGCGGCUUACUGGACUGACACUGACGCUGAGGCACGAAAGCGUGGGGAGCAAACAGGAUUAGAUACCCUGGUA